rnacentral:rRNA from 1 species
UACGGGGGGGGCAAGCGUUGUUCGGAAUUACUGGGCGUAAAGGGCUCGUAGGCGGCCAACUAAGUCAGACGUGAAAUCCCUCGGCUUAACCGAGGAACUGCGUCUGAUACUGGAUGGCUUGAAUCCGGGAGAGGGAUGUGGAAUUCCAGGUGUAGCGGUGAAAUGCGUAGAUAUCUGGAGGAAUACCGGUGGCGAAGGCGGCAUCCUGGACCGGCAUUGACGCUGAGGAGCGAAAGCUAGGGGAGCAAACGGG